rnacentral:lncRNA from 1 species
GUUGAAGCUCUUUCUUUCUCUUGCCUUCAAUUCCUUUUCUUCUUCUAUUUCUGUUGAUGUGAAUGGAUCGAGGAUGAACUUAGGAUUGAGUUGAAGGUGAGGUUAUGAACCUAUUCACUGAUUGAACCAAAUCAAUGAUUGGGAUGGAUGAAGGCGAGGAAUUGUGUGAGGGUUGAGCAGUGAUUGAUGAAGGUUGAAGAUGGAUUGAGAUUUUGAGUUGAGAGGGAGUGAAGG